GGUCGCGUAGCCUGAUGGAUAAGGCAUCUGACUUAGAAUCAGAAGAUUGUGAGUUCCACUCUCGUCGCGGGUG
rnacentral:tRNA from 1 species